CAGCUUUUCCUUUCUUUGCGGUGCCAGGAACAAUCUUCACACUAUACUUGUAUGACUGCAUGCCAGUAAAGCCAUCCGAAUGCUUCUCUCUUCCUCAUCUUGAUUCGCAUAUUUCUCCUUCAUCUUCUUAAGUUUGCCCUUCUGCCCACGCCUGAUUUUUCCACUUCCAGCCUCACUAUUUUGGACACUCUUUUCAGAUUGACUGAUAGGAACACCACUUUCUUUUGAUUCUUC
rnacentral:misc_RNA from 1 species